rnacentral:pre_miRNA from 1 species
AAUAUACUCCCUCCGUUCGGAAAUACUUGUCCUAAAAAAUAAUAUAAUGAAUGUAUCUAUAACUAAAAUAAGUCUAGAUUCAUUCAUUUCUAGGACAAUUAUUUCCGGACGGAGGGAAUAUUGA